rnacentral:rRNA from 1 species
GAUGAACGCUAGCGGCAGGCCUAAUACAUGCAAGUCGAACGGGAUCCAGAUCAAAGCUUGCUUUGGUUUGGUGAGAGUGGCGUACGGGUGCGUAACGCGUGAGCAACCUACCCUUGUCAGGGGGAUAGCCCGGCGAAAGUCGGAUUAAUACCGCAUGACAUCAUUGAGAGGCAUCUUUCGAUGAUCAAAGAUUUAUCGGACAAGGAUGGGCUCGCGUGACAUUAGCUAGUUGGUAAGGUAACGGCUUACCAAGGCUACGAUGUCUAGGGGCUCUGAGAGGAGAAUCCACCACACUGGUACUGAGACACGGACCAGACUCCUACGGGAGGCAGCAGUAAGGAAUAUUGGUCAAUGGACGGAAGUCUGAACCAGCCAUGCCGCGUGCAGGAAGACGGCCCUAUGGGUUGUAAACUGCUUUUAUACGGGAACAAACGUCGGUACGUGUACCGGUCUGAGUGUACCGUAAGAAUAAGAAUCGGCUAACUCCGUG